rnacentral:rRNA from 1 species
GCAUAUCAAUAGCGAGGAAAAGAAUCACAGGGAUUGCCUAGUAACGCGAGUGAAGCGGCAAGAGCUCAAAUUUGAAAUCUGGCCCCUCCCGGGGUCCGAGUUGUAAUUUGCAGAGGGAUGCUUCGGGUGCGGUCCCCAUCUAAGUGCCCUGGAACGGGCCGUCAUAGAGGGUGAGAAUCCCGUCUGGGAUGGGUGGCCGUGCCCGUGUGAAGCUCCUUCGACGAGUCGAGUUGUUUGGGAAUGCAGCUCUAAAUGGGUGGUAAAUUUCAUCUAAAGCUAAAUAUUGGCCGGAGACCGAUAGCGCACAAGUAGAGUGAUCGAAAGAUGAAAAGCACUUUGAAAAGAGAGUUAAACAGCACGUGAAAUUGUUGAAAGGGAAGCGCUUGCGACCAGACUCGCCCGCGGGGGUUCAGCCGGUACUCGUACCGGUGUAUUCCCCCGUGGGCGGGCCAGCGUCGGUUUGGGCGGCCGGUCAAAGGCCCCCGGAAUGUGUCGCCUCUCGGGGCGUCUUAUAGCCGGGGGUGCAAUGCGGCCAGCCUGGACCGAGGAACGCGCUUCGGCACGGACGCUGGCGUAAUGGUCGUAAGCGGCCCGUCUUGAAACACGGACCAAGGAGUCUAACAUCUACGCGAGUGUUCGGGUGUCAAACCCGUCCGCGCAGUGAAAGCGAACGGAGGUGGGAACCUUUCGGGGUGCACCAUCGACCGAUCCUGAUGUCUUCGGAUGGAUUUGAGUAAGAGCGUAGCUGUUGGGACCCGAAAGAUGGUGAACUAUGCCUGAAUAGGGCGAAGCCAGAGGAAACUCUGGGUGGAGGCUCGCAGCGGUUCUGACGUGCAAAUCGAUCGUCAAAUUUGGGUAUAGGGGCGAAGACUAAUCGAAACCAUCUGGUAGCUGG